AAGUCUAGAACACAGCUAUUAUAUUACACAUAAUAUGAUUUUUCAAUAUCAAUUAAUCUAGGAAAAACUUCAAAUAUAUUUAUGUUGUUUCGUACUUUCUUAUUUUAGUACCCUAUAGUUUAAGGUGUAUCAAGUUAGUAUCAUGUGGUUUUGCACUUUCUCACUUUAGUGCCCUGUGGUUUCAAGUGUAUCAAGUUAGUACCACAUGGUUUCAUUUUUAUAUCAAAUUAGUACUCUGUGGUUUCAAUUUUCUCUUUUUAUUAUCCACUUUGGGGUAUAUAAUUUAACGAAAUAUUAAGCCACGGGAUACUAAAGUUAGAAAGUACGAAACCAUAAGGUACUAACUUGAUACACUUGAAACCACAUGGUACUAAAGUCAGAAAGUGCGAAACCACAGGAUACUAACUUGAUACACUUGAAACCACAUGGUACUAAAGUGAGAAAGUGCGAAACCACAGAGGGGUAUUUGAAGUUUCUCCAUUAACCUAUUAUAUAGAAUUUAUUCAUCCUAUCAUAAUUUUUUAAAAAAUAUUUUGAUUAUAUUUUACUCUUAAAAGAAAUAUGUGAUUGACCGGAUAUAAAUAAUAUGGUAAUAAUUGAUAUAUAUUAAACUUU
rnacentral:lncRNA from 1 species